rnacentral:sRNA from 1 species
AUUGGCCGUGAAUUAAACCCUCGAAUUGGUACUUUUGAUCUCAAAUACUUUUGUGAAUUGCGCCCCGGAUUGAUUGGAUGGGUGGUUGUUAACUUGGUGAUGCUUUUGGCUGAAAUGAAAAUACAGGACCGCGCUGUUCCAUCCUUGGCCAUGAUUUUAGUUAAUAGUUUCCAGCUUCUCUAUGUGGUGGAUGCUCUCUGGAAUGAGGAAGCGUUGUUGACGACCAUGGACAUCAUCCACGAUGGAUUUGGAUUCAUGCUGGCUUUUGGAGACUUGGUGUGGGUUCCCUUUAUUUACAGCUUCCAAGCCUUUUAUUUAGUCAGUCAUCCAAAUGAAGUGUCUUGGCCAAUGGCUUCUCUAAUUAUUGUUCUGAAACGUGAGUAUUAAUUUUAGUCUCAGUUUAAUUUAUUAAAUAUUAUGUACUGAGGCUUUUAUGCCCUGCUGUCUACAUACUUGAAACAUGCCAUUUUGAAUGGCC